rnacentral:rRNA from 1 species
UACGUAGGGGGCGAGCGUUGUCCGGAUUCAUUGGGCGUAAAGAGCUCGUAGGCGGUUCGGCAAGUCGGGUGUGAAAACUCCAGGCUCAACCUGGAGACGCCACCCGAUACUGCUGUGACUCGAGUCCGGUAGGGGACCACGGAAUUCCUGGUGUAGCGGUGAAAUGCGCAGAUAUCAGGAGGAACACCGGUGGCGAAGGCGGGUCUCUGGGCCGAUACUGACGCUGAGGAGCGAAAGCGUGGGGAGCGAACAGG